rnacentral:rRNA from 1 species
AUUGAACGCUGGCGGCAUGCUUUACACAUGCAAGUCGAACGGUAACAGGGAGCUUGCUCCGCUGACGAGUGGCGAACGGGUGAGUAAUGCGUCGGAACGUGCCGAGUAGUGGGGGAUAACGCAGCGAAAGUUGUGCUAAUACCGCAUACGUACUGAGGUAGAAAGUGGGGGACCUUCGGGCCUCACGCUAUUCGAGCGGCCGACGUCUGAUUAGCUAGUAGGUGAGGUAAAGGCUCACCUAGGCGACGAUCAGUAGCGGGUCUGAGAGGAUGAUACGGCACACUGAGACUGAGACACGGCCCAGACUCCUACGGGAGGCAGCAGUGGGGAAGUUUGGGAGAUGGGGGAAAGCAGGAUCCAGCCAUGCCGCGUGUCGGAAGAAGGCCUUCGGGUUGUAAAGGACUUUUGUCGGGGAGGAAAUCCCCAGCGCUAAUACCGCUGGGGGAUGACAGUACCUGAAGAAUAAGCACCGGCUAACUACGUGCCAGCCGCCGCGGUAAAAC